rnacentral:rRNA from 1 species
AGGGUGACAGCCCCGUACACAAAAAUGCACAUGCUGUGAGCUCGAUGAGUAGGGCGGGACACGUGGUAUCCUGUCUGAAUAUGGGGGGACCAUCCUCCAAGGCUAAAUACUCCUGACUGACCGAUAGUGAACCAGUACCGUGAGGGAAAGGCGAAAAGAACCCCGGCGAGGGGAGUGAAAAAGAACCUGAAACCGUGUACGUACAAGCAGUGGGAGCCUCUUAAUGGGGUGACUGCGUACCUUUUGUAUAAUGGGUCAGCGACUUAUAUUCUGUAGCAAGGUUAACCGAAUAGGGGAGCCGAAGGGAAACCGAGUCUUAACUGGGCGUUAAGUUGCAGGGUAUAGACCCGAAACCCGGUGAUCUAGCCAUGGGCAGGUUGAAGGUUGGGUAACACUAACUGGAGGACCGAACCGACUAAUGUUGAAAAAUUAGCGGAUGACUUGUGGCUGGGGGUGAAAGGCCAAUCAAACCGGGAGAUAGCUGGUUCUCCCCGAAAGCUAUUUAGGUAGCGCCUCGUGAAUUCAUCUCCGGGGGUAGAGCACUGUUUCGGCAAGGGGGUCAUCCCGACUUACCAACCCGAUGCAAACUGCGAAUACCGGAGAAUGUUAUCACGGGAGACACACGGCGGGUGCUAACGUCCGUCGUGAAGAGGGAAACAACCCAGACCGCCAGCUAAGGUCCCAAAGUCAUGGUUAAGUGGGAAACGAUGUGGGAAGGCCCAGACAGCCAGGAUGUUGGCUUAGAAGCAGCCAUCAUUUAAAGAAAGCGUAAUAGCUCACUGGUCGAGUCGGCCUGCGCGGAAGAUGUAACGGGGCUAAACCAUG